rnacentral:rRNA from 1 species
AUUAAACGCUGGCGGCAUGCCUUACACAUGCAAGUCGAACGGCAGCACGGGGGCAACCCUGGUGGCGAGUGGCGGACGGGUGAGUAACACAUCGGAACGUGCCCUGGAGUGGGGGAUAACGCAGCGAAAGCUACGCUAAUACCGCAUAUUCUGUGAGCAGGAAAGCAGGGGAUCGCAAGACCUUGCGCUUUGGGAGCGGCCGAUGUCGGAUUAGCUAGUUGGUGGGGUAAAGGGCUUACCAAGGCGACGAUCCGUAGCGGGUCUGAGAGGAUGAUCCGCCACACUGGGACUGAGACACGGCCCAGACUCCUACAGGAGGCAGCAGUGGGGUAUUUUGGACAAUGGGCGGAAGCCUGAUCCAGCCAUGCCGCGUGAGUGAAGAAGGCCU